rnacentral:rRNA from 1 species
GACGAACGCUGGCGGCGUGCUUAACACAUGCGAGUCGAACGGAAAGGCCCUGCUUUUGUGGGGUGCUCGAGUGGCGAACGGGUGAGUAACACGUGAGUAACCUGCCCUUGACUUUGGGAUAACUUCAGGAAACUGGGGCUAAUACCGGAUAGGAGCUCCUGCUGCAUGGUGGGGGUUGGAAAGUUUCGGCGGUUGGGGAUGGACUCGCGGCUUAUCAGCUUGUUGGUGGGGUAGUGGCUUACCAAGGCUUUGACGGGUAGCCGGCCUGAGAGGGUGACCGGCCACCUUGGGACUGAGAUACGGCCCAGACUCCUACGGGAGGCAGCAGUGGGGAAUAUUGCACAAUGGGCGGAAGCCUGAUGCAGCAACGCCGCGUGCGGGAUGACGGCCUUCGGGUUGUAAACCGCUUUCGCCUGUGACGAAGCGUGAGUGACGGUAAUGGGUAAAGAAGCACCGGCUAACUACGUG